rnacentral:rRNA from 1 species
GUACCUACGGGGCGCAGCAGUGGGGAAUAUUGCACAAUGGGGGGAACCCUGAUGCAGCGACGCCGCGUGGGUGAAGGAGUACUUCGGUACGUAAAGCCCUAUCAGCAGGAAAGAAAAUGACGGUACCUGACUAAGAAGCCCCGGCUAACUACGUGCCAGCAGCCGCGGUAAUACGUAGGGGGCGAGCGUUAUCCGGAUUUACUGGGUGUAAAGGGAGCGUAGACGGCUAUGCAAGUCUGGAGUGAAAGGCGGGGGCCCAACCCCCGGACUGCUCUGGAAACUGUAGAGCUAGAGUGCAGGAGAGG